rnacentral:lncRNA from 1 species
UAUUACAUUUCUGCUAGGGACUUAGUAUUUCGAAUAUAUUUACAUAUCUUAUCUUUUUCUAAUCUGCUCAUUAAUCCUGUAAAAAAGUAUCAUUAUCCUGGUUUCAUAAUAAGGAAACUGGGCUCAUAGAGGUAAAGAAACCAGGGAGCUUAUUGAAAAUGCGAAUUUUCAGGCCUCCUCCCAGGCCUCUGAAUGAGAAUCUCUGCGGGUUGCUUCAGCAAUCAGUCUUAAUGGUUUCUCCAGGUGAUUCCGAGGCACGCUGAAGGUUGAGGAGCACUGCAUUACAGAGCUGGAAGAAACUGCAUGGACCAGGAAGACAGCAAUUCUGGAAGCGCUGCAGCCAACCAGAACUAUUCAGUCCAUUAGACACAAAGGGAAAGCAGCUGGGCCCAAGGAAUGCCUCUCCGGUGGUAAGUCACACUCUGGGUUAGUCCUUCAACUGAGUCCAGAACGCUUUGGUCCUGAGAAUGAACCCAUGUACCCUGUAACAGAGGAAAUUUCAAAGCUGUUAGCAGUAUUCAU